AAUUUCCUGGAAUGUGCGACACUCCUACUAUUUUGAACCUACAUUUACUUUAAACGGGAUGCUCAUCAUUGUCCUACGGAUGUCAAGCCACCCUGGAAACAGAUGUCAGUGGAAGGCAAAAGCAGGUACUGCGGCGGCCCACCUAGCUGUGGCUAGGAGUCAAAAUAUAGGAAACGGCAUUUCGGGGUUACU
rnacentral:other from 1 species